rnacentral:rRNA from 1 species
CCCUUAGACGUUCUGGGCCGCACGCGCGCUACACUGACCAGUGCAACAAGCAUCCGUCCUUGGCCGACAGGCCCGGGCAAUCUUUGAACGCUGGUCGUGAUGGGGAUAGACUUUUGCAAUUUUUGGUCUUCAACGAGGAAUUCCUAGUAAACGCAAGUCAUCAACUUGCAUUGAUUACGUCCCUGCCCUUUGUACACACCGCCCGUCGCACCUACCGAUUGAAUGGUCCGGUGAAGCCUCCGGAUUGGCGCGCACCUCGGUGCCGCCGAGAAGUUGGCUAAACCUNANCAUUUANAGGAAGGUGANGUCGUNACA